rnacentral:rRNA from 1 species
UACGUAGGGGGCAAGCGUUGUCCGGAUUUAUUGGGCGUAAAGAGCGUGUAGGCGGUUUGGUAGGUCCGCUGUGAAAACUCGAGGCUCAACCUCGAGACGCCGGUGGAAACCAUCAGACUAGAGUCCGGAAGAGGAGAGUGGAAUUCCUGGUGUAGCGGUGAAAUGCGCAGAUAUCAGGAAGAACACCCGUGGCUAAGGCGGCUCUCUAGUACGGUACUGACGCUGAGGCGCGAAAGCGUGGGGAGCAAACGGG